rfam:Oceanospirillum sp. MED92 scf_1099521380392 genomic scaffold, whole genome shotgun sequence.
UUUGUGUCUGUAACUUGAGGGAUGAGAACCCGAGAAGAGGGUUUGAGCCGAGCGAAGCGAGACAACGUGGGAGCUGCGACCACGGCCCCGAAGGGGUGAAAUAAUCCCUCCCUGACCGCCA